UAGUACGCAUGCGCUAUAUCCUUUUCUUCCCAAGAGUGGAAUGAGCUGGUCGCACGUUCUACACGCUGCAGUAUAACUUGAGAAGUGGCAGAUGAAGAUGGCUGCAUCCAGUGGAAAGGAUCGCUUCAAAAGUCCAAGGGUGACUGGAGAAGUGCAGAUCAUUAAAGACUGGUUCAAGGAUUGCCACUGGUAAAGGCUGACAUGAGAAGUGCAAAUGUGGGAAAAAAGGGUCCAAGGAUUCCACUAGAAAAGGGUGACCUGAGAAGUGCAGAUCAUUGAAGAGUGAUCAAAGGACUGAAACUAGAAAAUGGUGACAUGAGAAGUGCAUGAAGGAAGAUGAAGACUGGUUACUUAUACACUGGUUGCGUAGGUGUGCACAAAAUGCAAGAUCUGCUUGCGGGAUUCUUCCAAUCUAAGGUCCCGUUGGUGCAAGGAGUCCAGGUCAUGGAGAGCACAAGGAAACACUGCAUCGGGUGGAAAAACAAGCGCAGAGCCUCCUGCAUUCCCAAGAAAAACUUUUUCAUUCCCAAACGCUCCACACACUCACUGUAACAGGAGCUUGGGGCUAACUAUACACUAGUAAUGAAGUGCUAAAAGGUGAAUGGGUUGUGAUCAAAUGCACAAUGAAAUUCUCAUCAAAAACAUUCCUGAUUUUGUUUCUUUACUGAAUAUCAUUUUAGAAUGACUGGAUUUCAAAAAGGUUGUUUUUGUAUUUGUUUGUACUUCAGAAAUAAAUAAAAUUGGAAAACUAA